AGUCUCUGGCCGAGUCUUCUCGCAGCCGCAACCCACCUGGGGCAAGCCCAGUGCUGCCGGCGCCGCUCGGCUCCCUCCCUCCCUCCCGGCCCUUCGGCCGCGGCGGCUUGCGCCUGCCUUUUCCGGGGGCGGGGGCCCGGCUCGCGCUGUCCCCUCGUGAAGGCGCCCGCUCGGACAUCCCGAGGAUUGCUACUUCUCUGCCAACUUCGCCAACUCACCGACACUUGGAGCGGCCCGACUCCCCGCCCGGCGCCCUCGGGCCACCCCAGCUCCUCGCCCUCUCCGAUUGCCGCCUCUCGGAUGACCGGGUUCCAGGAGAGCUGAGCCAGCCUCCUCCCCCUCCCAGCUUCAGCCCUGGCCGCAGCAGCCGCACGCGCCAUGCGCCCCCAGAUCCCCCCGGCCCGGUCCGCCGCCUCGGGGCCGUUCUGCUGAUCGCCAGCCCCGAGCCCCGACGGUGGGAAAUUGCGGUGGCUGCGGUUGCCAGUUCCGGCCGGCCAGGGAAGAGUCCCCGCCGGGAGAGCAGCGCGGCGCCCCCCACCCCCGCCCGUGUGCGCCCCGCCGCAGCUGGGCACCCGCUCACCCCCACUCCCCACCGUCCCUCCCUUUUCUCCUCAAGUCCUGAAGUUGAGUUUGAGAGGCGACACGGCGGCGGCGGCCGCGCUGCUCCCGCUCCUCUGCCUCCCCAUGGAUAUGCACUGCAAAGCAGACCCCUUCUCCGCGAUGCACCCAGGGCACGGGGGUGUGAACCAGCUUGGGGGGGUGUUUGUGAACGGCCGGCCCCUGCCCGACGUAGUGAGGCAGCGCAUCGUGGAGCUAGCCCACCAGGGUGUGCGGCCCUGCGACAUCUCCCGGCAGCUGCGGGUCAGCCACGGCUGUGUCAGCAAAAUCCUGGGCAGGUACUACGAGACUGGCAGCAUCAAGCCCGGAGUGAUAGGCGGCUCCAAGCCCAAAGUGGCGACGCCCAAAGUGGUGGAUAAGAUUGCUGAGUACAAGCGACAGAACCCAACUAUGUUCGCCUGGGAAAUCCGCGACCGGCUGCUGGCUGAGGGCAUCUGCGACAAUGACACAGUGCCCAGCGUCUCUUCCAUCAACAGGAUCAUCCGGACCAAAGUUCAGCAGCCUUUUCACCCAACACCAGACGGGGCUGGGACUGGAGUGACUGCACCUGGCCACACCAUUGUUCCCAGUACGGCCUCCCCUCCUGUUUCCAGCGCCUCCAAUGAUCCAGUGGGAUCCUACUCCAUCAACGGGAUCCUGGGGAUCCCUCGCUCCAAUGGCGAGAAGAGGAAACGUGAUGAAGAUGUGUCCGAGGGCUCAGUCCCCAAUGGAGAUUCCCAGAGUGGCGUGGACAGUUUGCGGAAGCACUUGCGAGCUGACACCUUCACCCAGCAGCAGCUGGAAGCUUUGGAUCGGGUCUUUGAGCGUCCUUCGUACCCUGACGUCUUCCAGGCAUCAGAGCACAUCAAAUCAGAACAGGGGAACGAGUACUCCCUCCCAGCCCUGACCCCUGGGCUUGAUGAAGUCAAGUCGAGUCUAUCUGCACCCACCAACCCCGAGCUGGGCAGCAACGUGUCAGGCACGCAGACAUACCCCGUUGUGACCGGUCGUGACAUGGCGAGCACCACUCUGCCUGGUUACCCCCCUCACGUGCCCCCCACUGGCCAGGGAAGCUACCCCACCUCCACCCUGGCAGGAAUGGUGCCUGAGCUGCAGUUGGUCCCUCAUCCUCCUUCAUAAGCAACCUAGGUAGGGAGCUUGCAGAAGUGCCACUUGUGUGCACUCCACUGGAGCGAGUUCUCCGGCAACCCGUACAGCCACCCCCAGUACACGGCCUACAACGAGGCUUGGAGAUUCAGCAACCCCGCCUUACUAAGUUCCCCUUAUUAUUAUAGUGCCGCCCCCCGGGGCUCCGCCCCUGCCGCUGCUGCCGCUGCCUAUGACCGCCACUAGUUACCGCGGGGACCACAUCAAGCUUCAGGCCGACAGCUUCGGCCUCCACAUCGUCCCUGUCUGACCGCCCACCCCGGAGGGAGGGAGGACCGAUUCGACGCGAAGCCUCCUGGCCACCGCCCCAGCCCCACCCCCACCCCAGGACACCGGCAGCCGUUCACAUCACCCCGUCGAAGUCGAAGGCAGGACAGGACUAGUGGAGCCUCGGGCGAGACCCUCAGGCACAGGCCCCGCCCCCAACCCCGACUCGGCCUCUUCCCGCCUGCCUGGACUUCGUGGUGCGUCGAGGAGGGCCCCACCAAGCUCGCCCCGGCCUUGCCCGAGCCGAACCGGAGCGGACCAGCCACAACACCGAACUCAGGCCGGGCCGCCGCUGUGCGCGGGGACACGUUUCUGUGACACACAAUCAGCGCGAACUGCAGAGCGGCCCAGCCCCAAAGCAGCCCGACUUGGACGCUCCGGCGCCAGGAGGCCUCGCUGGAGGGACUGGGAAAAGGAAAUUAAAAACAAAACGAUUUUCUGCAGAAGGAGGAAGAGCCUCCUGUCGAACCCUUGGGGGAAAGUCGUUACCCCUGCACCAGCCAGACUUCCCACCUUCCGCGUGUGCCCAGCCCCAGAAGGUGGAAUGGAAUGGGGACGUGGGGGCUGGGCUCUAGUCGUCAGGUCUUUCCAAGGUUGGGACCCAAGGCACACAGCCCCAGCAGCCCCCACCCACCGAGCCCGACUCUCGGCUCUUGCCUACUUCACCAGAGCUUGCCAGUUCCCCAGGGCCCAGGCAUCUCCUACUAGUGACAAGACUCUCAGCCCCACCUUGCCCCUACCUCAGCGUCUCUGCCAUCUGUGACCUCCCAGUCUUCCCUCCUGCCCGUCCUUUUCCCAUUCCACGAUGCUCUGCAUCACUCACUCCUCCCUAUCUCGCCACCCCGUCGGAGGCUCUCCGGUGCCGUAGGACCAGUUUCCAUAGGCCUUGGGCACUGGUCUUUUCCAACAGUUACUUGAUGUCCCUCCCCCGACACAGACUCUCGAUCUGCCGGUGGCUGGAGCAGGUUCUCAGCUGUGGCGGGGUGGAAGUGAGGGGCUGCCCACUUCACCCCCAGACUCCUCCUCCGGCAGGAACUGAAUAGAACCGCAAGAAGUCUACAUUUAUUUAAUAUGAUGAUCUUUGCAAAAAGGAAAAAACAAAACCCAACAGGCUGCUGCUUUGUAGAAAGACGGUGUGUGUCGUGUGAAGGCGAACACCUGUGUAUAUAACUCCACCCCGUCUGCCCCGCCCCACCCGGUAGAGUCCCCGCCCGCCCGCCCUGCCUGUAGAUAGCCCUGCUCUCUGUGCUGUGAGAGUCGCCGCUCGCUGGGGGGGAGGGGGGGACACAGCUAUACGCCCACUAAAGCACAGCACGUCCUGGGGGAGGGGGGCAUUUUUUAUGUUACAAAAAAAAAAUUACGAAAGAAAAGAAAUCUCUAUGCAAAACGACGAACAUGGUCCUGUGGACUCCUCUCGCCUCAGUUUUGUUGGUUAUACCUCUGUAAUCCCGUGUUUUCACUCUCAUCUUUCUCCUGCGUAUCUCUCCCCUUUCUCCAUCUCUGUCUCCUCAGUCUCUGUCACUCUGCGUCUUUGUCUCUGUCUCGGCCUCUCUCCCCAUCCCCGCCCGGCCGCCUUGUCCUCGCAGGCUAGAUCAGAGGUGGCAGCUCCACCCCCAGGCUUGUCCCCUUGCGGCCGUGCCCCGCGCGCCCUGGGCUACCGGCGGCCGGGCCGCCCCGCCCCGUAGUUGCUCUCUCGGUAGCGGCGAUGCGCCCUGCAUGUCUCCUCACCCGUGGAUCGUGACGACUCGAAAUAACAGAAACAAAGUCAAUAAAAGUGAAAAUAAAUAAAUAAAUAAAAGUCCUUGAACAAAUACGAAAGGCUUGGAGUCCUCACCCAGAUCUCUCUCCCCUUCGAGCCUUUUUAUUUGAAAAGGAAAAUGAGAAAAGAGAAUAGUUUAAGGGAACUGCCGGCGCCUAGCCAGGCUCCAGUGGCCCGAGCGGGGCGGCGAGGGUGCCGAGGUUCAAACUCCGAGGCCCGGCCCAUUCCAGUCCUCCUGGGGCUGGCCGGGCAGGGGCACCAGAGCCAAGACCCAGCCGAACCCGAGGGAGAGCCCCUGAUAGCUCUGGUCUCCUUGGCCACUUUAAGCGCGUCGGUUCGUUUUUAUUCUUUUCCUUUU